GACGAAUGCUGGCUGCGUGCUUAACACAUGCAAGUCGAACGGUGAAGGAGGGCUUGCCCUCCGGAUCAGCGGCGAACGGGUGAGUAACACGUGGGCAACCUGCCCCUCACUCUGGGAUAACGCCGGGAAACCGGCGCUAAUACCGGAUACGACCAGGCGCGACAUCUCGCCUGGUGGAAAGAAUUUCGGUGAGGGAUGGGCCCGCGGCCUAUCAGCUAGUUGGUGGGGUAACGGCCCACCAAGGCGACGACGGGUAGCCGGCCUGAGAGGGCGACCGGCCACACUGGGACUGAGACACGGCCCAGACUCCUACGGGCGGCAGCAGUGGGGAAUGUUGCGCAAUGGGCGAAAGCCUGACGCAGCGACGCAGCGUGAGGGACGAAGGCCUUCGGGUUGUAAACCUCUUUCAGCGGGGACGAAGCGAAAGUGACGGUACCCGCAGAAGAAGCACCGGCUAACUACGUGCCAGCCGCCGCAGUAAGAC
rnacentral:rRNA from 1 species